AGCGUACACGGUGGAUGCCCUGGCAGUCAGAGGCGAUGAAGGACGUGCUAAUCUGCGAUAAGCGUCGGUGAGGUGAUAUGAACCGUUAUAACCGGCGAUUUCCGAAUGGGGAAACCCAGUGUGUUUCGACACACUAUCAUUAACUGAAUCCAUAGGUUAAUGAGGCGAACCGGGGGAACUGAAACAUCUAAGUACCCCGAGGAAAAGAAAUCAACCGAGAUUCCCCCAGUAGCGGCGAGCGAACGGGGAGGAGCCCAGAGCCUGAAUCAGUGUGUGUGUUAGUGGAAGCGUCUGGAAAGGCGCGCGAUACAGGGUGACAGCCCCGUACACAAAAAUGCACAUAUUGUGAGCUCGAUGAGUAGGGCGGGACACGUGGUAUCCUGUCUGAAUAUGGGGGGACCAUCCUCCAAGGCUAAAUACUCCUGACUGACCGAUAGUGAACCAGUACCGUGAGGGAAAGGCGAAAAGAACCCCGGCGAGGGGAGUGAAAAAGAACCUGAAACCGUGUACGUACAAGCAGUGGGAGCCUCUUAAUGGGGUGACUGCGUACCUUUUGUAUAAUGGGUCAGCGACUUAUAUUCUGUAGCAAGGUUAACCGAAUAGGGGAGCCGAAGGGAAACCGAGUCUUAACUGGGCGUUAAGUUGCAGGGUAUAGACCCGAAACCCGGUGAUCUAGCCAUGGGCAGGUUGAAGGUUGGGUAACACUAACUGGAGGACCGAACCGACUAAUGUUGAAAAAUUAGCGGAUGACUUGUGGCUGGGGGUGAAAGGCCAAUCAAACCGGGAGAUAGCUGGUUCUCCCCGAAAGCUAUUUAGGUAGCGCCUCGUGAAUUCAUCUCCGGGGGUAGAGCACUGUUUCGGCAAGGGGGUCAUCCCGACUUACCAACCCGAUGCAAACUGCGAAUACCGGAGAAUGUUAUCACGGGAGACACACGGCGGGUGCUAACGUCCGUCGUGAAGAGGGAAACAACCCAGACCGCCAGCUAAGGUCCCAAAGUCAUGGUUAAGUGGGAAACGAUGUGGGAAGGCCCAGACAGCCAGGAUGUUGGCUUAGAAGCAGCCAUCAUUUAAAGAAAGCGUAAUAGCUCACUGGUCGAGUCGGCCUGCGCGGAAGAUGUAACGGGGCUAAACCAUGCACCGAAGCUGCGGCAGCGACGCUUAUGCGUUGUUGGGUAGGGGAGCGUUCUGUAAGCCUGUGAAGGUGGCCUGUGAGGGUUGCUGGAGGUAUCAGAAGUGCGAAUGCUGACAUAAGUAACGAUAAAGCGGGUGAAAAGCCCGCUCGCCGGAAGACCAAGGGUUCCUGUCCAACGUUAAUCGGGGCAGGGUGAGUCGACCCCUAAGGCGAGGCCGAAAGGCGUAGUCGAUGGGAAACAGGUUAAUAUUCCUGUACUUGGUGUUACUGCGAAGGGGGGACGGAGAAGGCUAUGUUGGCCGGGCGACGGUUGUCCCGGUUUAAGCGUGUAGGCUGGUUUUCCAGGCAAAUCCGGAAAACCAAGGCUGAGGCGUGAUGACGAGGCACUACGGUGCUGAAGUGACAAAUGCCCUGCUUCCAGGAAAAGCCUCUAAGCAUCAGGUAACAUCAAAUCGUACCCCAAACCGACACAGGUGGUCAGGUAGAGAAUACCAAGGCGCUUGAGAGAACUCGGGUGAAGGAACUAGGCAAAAUGGUGCCGUAACUUCGGGAGAAGGCACGCUGAUAUGUAGGUGAAGCGACUUGCUCGUGGAGCUGAAAUCAGUCGAAGAUACCAGCUGGCUGCAACUGUUUAUUAAAAACACAGCACUGUGCAAACACGAAAGUGGACGUAUACGGUGUGACGCCUGCCCGGUGCCGGAAGGUUAAUUGAUGGGGUUAGCGGUAACGCGAAGCUCUUGAUCGAAGCCCCGGUAAACGGCGGCCGUAACUAUAACGGUCCUAAGGUAGCGAAAUUCCUUGUCGGGUAAGUUCCGACCUGCACGAAUGGCGUAAUGAUGGCCAGGCUGUCUCCACCCGAGACUCAGUGAAAUUGAACUCGCUGUGAAGAUGCAGUGUACCCGCGGCAAGACGGAAAGACCCCGUGAACCUUUACUAUAGCUUGACACUGAACAUUGAGCCUUGAUGUGUAGGAUAGGUGGGAGGCUUUGAAGUGUGGACGCCAGUCUGCAUGGAGCCGACCUUGAAAUACCACCCUUUAAUGUUUGAUGUUCUAACGUUGGCCCGUAAUCCGGGUUGCGGACAGUGUCUGGUGGGUAGUUUGACUGGGGCGGUCUCCUCCUAAAGAGUAACGGAGGAGCACGAAGGUUGGCUAAUCCUGGUCGGACAUCAGGAGGUUAGUGCAAUGGCAUAAGCCAGCUUGACUGCGAGCGUGACGGCGCGAGCAGGUGCGAAAGCAGGUCAUAGUGAUCCGGUGGUUCUGAAUGGAAGGGCCAUCGCUCAACGGAUAAAAGGUACUCCGGGGAUAACAGGCUGAUACCGCCCAAGAGUUCAUAUCGACGGCGGUGUUUGGCACCUCGAUGUCGGCUCAUCACAUCCUGGGGCUGAAGUAGGUCCCAAGGGUAUGGCUGUUCGCCAUUUAAAGUGGUACGCGAGCUGGGUUUAGAACGUCGUGAGACAGUUCGGUCCCUAUCUGCCGUGGGCGCUGGAGAACUGAGGGGGGCUGCUCCUAGUACGAGAGGACCGGAGUGGACGCAUCACUGGUGUUCGGGUUGUCAUGCCAAUGGCACUGCCCGGUAGCUAAAUGCGGAAGAGAUAAGUGCUGAAAGCAUCUAAGCACGAAACUUGCCCCGAGAUGAGUUCU
rnacentral:rRNA from 2 species